AGUGAACGCUGGCGGUAGGCCUAACACAUGCAAGUCGAACGGCAGCACAGUAAGAGCUCGCUCUUACGGGUGGCGAGUGGCGGACGGGUGAGGAAUACAUCGGAAUCUACUUUUUCGUGGGGGAUAACGUAGGGAAACUUACGCUAAUACCGCAUACGACCUACGGGUGAAAGCAGGGGAUCUUCGGACCUUGCGCGAUUGAAUGAGCCGAUGUCGGAUUAGCUAGUUGGCGGGGUAAAGGCCCACCAAGGCGACGAUCCGUAGCUGGUCUGAGAGGAUGAUCGGCCACACUGGAACUGAGACACGGUCCAGACUCCUACGGGAGGCAGCAGUGGGGAAUAUUGGACAAUGGGCGCAAGCCUGAUCCAGCCAUACCGCGUGGGUGAAGAAGGCCUUCGGGUUGUAAAGCCCUUUUGUUGGGAAAGAAAAGCAGCAGGUUAAUACCCCGCUGUUCUGACGGUACCCAAAGAAUAAGCACCGGCUAACUUCGUG
rnacentral:rRNA from 1 species